rnacentral:pre_miRNA from 1 species
AAAAAGGCAAACCCUGAGUUUCCGUGUCCAACUUUGAUGGUCCGUCUUAUAUGAAUUCUUUUUAUUAUUCGUAUUGUCAUUGUUGUUAGAUGAUAAAACAUGAUUAAUAUUUUAUGCGUGACUUGUCUUUUAAUUUUUUUCAAAUAAGACGGACGGUCAAACGUUGGGCACAGAAACCAGGGUUUAUCUUUUU